rnacentral:rRNA from 1 species
CAGUCGCCGCGGGAAUACGAAGGGGGCUAGCGUUGCUCGGAAUUACUGGGCGUAAAGGGCGCGUAGGCGGACAGUUCAGUCGGGGGUGAAAGCCCGGGGCUCAACCUCGGAAUUGCCUUCGAUACUGGCUGUCUUGAGUAUGAGAGAGGUGUGUGGAACUCCGAGUGUAGAGGUGAAAUUCGUAGAUAUUCGGAAGAACACCAGUGGCGAAGGCGACACACUGGCUCAUUACUGACGCUGAGGCGCGAAAGCGUGGGGAGCAAACAGGAUUAGAUACCCCCGGUAGUCCCUGUCUCUUAUA